rnacentral:lncRNA from 1 species
UUGGUUAUCAUAGGACAUAAUCCAUGACCCCUAGUCUCUCUGUGUUGUUUCAUACUCUUCCCGAAUAGAACACUCACAAUCCAAGAAAAAGAAUAACAGCAAUGUUUCUACUGUAGUCCUGUAAGCGAGUUAAGCUGUGCCGCCUUGGUGUUGUGGAAUAAGUAAAGCUCAAAGAGCUUCCCUCAUAUGUCUAUGUCUUCCCCCUAUAAGGGAAGAUAUCGUUCUAAU